rnacentral:rRNA from 1 species
UACGUAGGGGGGCUAGCGUUGUUCGGAAUUACUGGGCGUAAAGCGCACGUAGGCGGCUUUGUAAGUUAGAGGUGAAAGCCCAGGGCUUAACCCUGGAAUUGCCUUUAAGACUGCAUCGCUAGAAUCGUGGAGAGGUGAGUGGAAUUCCGAGUGUAGAGGUGAAAUGCGUAGAUAUCAGGAGGAACACCGGUGGUGUAGACGGCUCACUGGACCAUAACUGACGCUGAGACACGAAAGCGUGGGUAGCAAACAGG